CGUAAGCAACCUGCCCCCAAGACCGGGACAACAUUCCGAAAGGAGUGCUAAUACCGGAUGUGCCCAUCGGGUGACAUCACCUGAUGAGUAAAUCAAGCAAUUGGCUUAGGGAGGGGCUUGCGGCCUAUCAGCUAGAUGGUGGGGUAACGGCCUACCAUGGCGACGACGGGUAGCUGGUCUGAGAGGAUGGUCAGCCGGAUUGGGACUGAGAUACGGCCCAG
rnacentral:rRNA from 1 species